AAAUAACAUUUGUUACAACAUUAUUACACCAUCAGUUCAAUUAAUUCAACCCAAAUCUAUGAAACGGUCACAAAAUGUCAGCAAAAUCACACUGUCCCUCUAAAAUCUUUCAGAAAAUUGUACAAAUCAUAUCGUUUACUGAAUAUCGUGAUAUAGAUCAUAUUGUGAGCAGAGUCCUGCAUCAUAUUGUAUUGUGAGAUUAGUGUAUCGCUACAGCCUUGUUGUUGAGUAGGAACAAAAAAAUUGGUGAUCUUAGUCUUUAAAAAGGAGUACUUUUGAGCUGACGAAUUUGGCCCACGUGUCAAAAUGUUUGCACACCCCAGCUCUACAGAAAGUAAAUUUAAAAACUAAAAAUCAAGCUUAAAUUUGAAUUUUCCAUUAGAAGUGUGCUUUUUGCUGAAAACUGUCACUAUUUGAUGUUGGGGGUAAUGCU